rnacentral:rRNA from 1 species
UGUAAGCGUAUACCAAAGUUGUUGCAGUUAAAACGCUCGUAGUCGGAACUUGGCAGUUCCGGAAGUGUGCACGUCGUGUGCGCACUUUGCAGGGACUGCUUUUGUGGUCUUGCGUAGGAUGAGGCACUUUUAUUAGUGAACGUCCUCACGCAACCACUCUUUACUGUGAGAAAAUCAGAGUGCUCAAAGCAGGCAUUUGCCGUGAAUGUAUUAGCAUGGAAUAAUAGAAUAGGACUCGGUUCUAUUUUGUUGGUUUGUUGGGACUGAGUAAUGGUUAAGAGGGACAGUUGGGGGCAUUUGUAUUUCGGCGCUAGAGGUGAAAUUCUUAGAUUGCCGAAAGACAAACUGCUGCGAAAGCGUCUGCCAAGGAUGUUUUCAUUGA